AUGCAUAUGAUGAGUUUUACUCGGAUUCCCCUUCAGGACUUUAUGGAUGAUGCAAACUCGAGUCUCUGAUGCA